CAUAAUUUGUCUCGUUCAUGAUAUCUUUUGUCUAUCAAUCUGUAUCGCAAAAAAAAUAAUAUAAUAAUAACAUGAAAAAAAUAAUAUAACCACCAAGAGCCCGUGUUGUAGAAGAACAGGCGGCCUGUCAGGUUUCUUGCCAGAGCGGCCCACCGGAAUCCUCUGCAUGCCAAGAAUAUAACCAUCCUUCUUUGUUAC